rnacentral:rRNA from 1 species
UAAUACAGAGACUGCAAGCGUUAUUCGGAUUCACUGGGCGUAAAGGGUGCGCAGGCGGCCGUGUGUGUUAGGCGUGAAAGCCCGAGGCUCAACCUCGGAAUUGCACCUAAAACUACACGGCUAGAGUACUGGAGAGGGUAGCGGAAUUCACGGUGUAGCAGUGAAAUGCGUAGAUAUCGUGAGGAACACCAAUGGCGAAGGCAGCUACCUGGACAGUAACUGACGCUCAGGCACGAAAGCGUGGGGAGCAAAAGGG